CUACGUCACUGGGAAAGUCCCUUUUUUAAGAGCAGCCUGCGCUGUGGCUUAGAGUCGAGCAGAAGAUCCCGGUAAAGGCUUGGAGGUCGGUCACUGCUUAGAUCUCCUACUAGGGAGCUUAACCCGCCCACCCCUCGUGGUCUCCGCUGCAGCUGCCACUGUCUCAGCGCCGCUCGUAGCUCGCCAGCCACCCUCCAGGGCAAGCGUCGGAAACCGGGCUUUGUCCGUGAGCUGCCUCUUUUGGCGUCUAGGUCUGAGGCUCCACCGUCCAACAACCUGACCAAGAUGUCUGGGCCGAAGGCAACCGAACCCCUCCCGAGACUUCCGAGAACCAAUGGUGCCAAUAUUCUGCGACCUGCAGAUCGAGAAGCUAAUCCAGGUAUGGACAUUGAGGACAUCGCACGGAUAAUGCGAAAAAUUGGAGACGACCUGUAUCUUAAAUAUGUUCUUGAAAAUGCAUUGUUUAUAGUGUCUAACAUGAAGUUCCCUUGAAAGAUGGAUGGCUUCGAUAUUCUCUCAACAUGUCUACAUUCUCUCAACAUGUCUACAAUUCCUCAACAGAAAGUGAAGAAACUUCUUUAGAGAAGGUUUAGAGAAGCCUUCUAAGAGCAAGGAUCUACAAGGGGAAAAUGGAGAUUUGUCAUUCUUUUCAACCACAAUUUAGACACCUUAAAAGCCACUUGGGAGUUUUUCCAGCAUUUUUCCACCAAGAUUUCAGUGUUAGAUCCAAGUAAUUGUUACACAUAAUGUGUAAAUUGUCUACCUUGUGAAUCAUGCACCAGAAUUUCUAAUUAUCAGUUUUAAGACCACUGAAUAUGUUGCAUUGUUUUGAUACAUUUCAUGUGUGUAUUUCAACUGUAAUACAGUUGGGGCCUAGGUCUGGGUUUGAGGGUCUUAUUUAUUUAAUUUAAGGUAAAAGUAUUUGAGUGACCCCCAUUUUUGAGUUUUGUUCAUUUUGUGAAGUUAUGUGGAUUUUUCAAAGCUAUGUAAAUCCUGAUGUAAACAGGAUUUAAGUGUUUAAGGCUGCUUUUUAAAUUCUGAGCCUGUUAUCCCAAAAGUUAUCUCUGCUUCAUACUUGUCAAAUGGAUAUGCUUCAUCUGUAAAAUUAGCUGGAGAAAUUUUUUUGGGGGGUUUUGCCAAGAAAACCCCAAAAUAGGGUCACAAUGUCACAAUAGGGUCACAGCAAAAGAGGGCCAAGUGGUUUGGGGGAGCACAGUGCAGGGGUAUGGGGAAAAUAUAUGAGGUCACCUUGAAUAGACCUAUUGCCAGUGCUAACUUUGGACAAAGACAACCCAUGCCCAAGUUAUGUAACUUCCCUUUUAAUUAUACUUUUAAUGCAACUGUUUCAUAACCUGCAGUCUUAUCUGAGGACUAAAAAUUGCCUAUUUCAAUCUUCAAUUUCAAUUUUUUUGUUCUUCCAAAUGAAAUUUGUUAUGGUUUUUUCUAAUUCAUUAAUAAAAGUUUUUUGGUUGUUCAA